GUGGAGAAUUGGGGUGCUCUUCAACCUUCUUCUCUGACUGUGAGACUUGGAUACCUUAUAGAUGUCAAAACCAACUCCUUGAAUAGCUAAAUCAGCUUUGUUUACAGGCUACACUCAACAUCAAAUAAGACAGUAUCACAAACAGUGAAGUGCUAAAAAGAAAUGCACUGGAUGCAUUUUGAAUGGGAAAAGAAGAAUGUGAAUGUUUGUUGACACAUCUGUGGAACUGCCUUCUUAGGUCAAGAUUGCGAUGCUUACAUUCUGUAUUGGUUUCUGUGAGAUAUCCAGGAUGAAGGCUGUAAAAAUAAGAGAUGACGCUCAUCCAUAUCCUUAAAACAAAUAGGAAAUUGCAAGCAAAUAUUGAGGCAUGUGGAAAAUGAUCAACAAAUGAAGAGAAGAUGUUGGAGAUGAAAUGCUAAUAAAGAAUGUAGCAAAGAGGACAAAAGAUUAAAAAGAAGGGAAUACAAUGAAUGGAAAUAACCACAAGUGAAGGAAAUAGAAUAAUGUCAAAUUAAAUAUACAAACACACACAUGCUGAAGAUGGGAAUAAAUACAAAAAU